rnacentral:piRNA from 1 species
UGAAGGUCUAUAAUGGUAAACUCAUUG